UCCCUGCUCAGGGUCACACCUGGAGAGUUUCUAUUACUCUACCAGUCUCGGCUAUGGGAGGGAGAGUCAAGCAGAGGCCUGUCCGUUCCAUUCCUAGCUUGGUCAGUGGCUAGCGAGUGGAAGGCAAUCUGUUACGAGU